AGAGUUUGAUCCUGGCUCAGGAUGAACGUUGGCGGCGUGCCUAAUACAUGCAAGUCGAACGGUAGUUGAGCAUUCGUGCUUGAUGAGAGUGGCGAACGGGUGAGUAACACGUAACUGAUCUGCCCUUUAGACUGGGAUAACCUUUGGAAACAGAGGCUAAUACCGGAUGAGUUCGCGGUAGUUAGAGAGCCGUGAGGAAAGGCUAAUGCGCUAAGGGAUGAGGUUGCGGGCCAUCAGCUAGUUGGUGAGGUAAAGGCUCACCAAGGCGAUGACGGUUAGGGGAUCUGAGAGGGUGGCCCCCCACACUGGGACUGAGACACGGCCCAGACUCCUACGGGAGGCAGCAGUAAGGGAUAUUGCACAAUGGACGGAAGUCUGAUGCAGUGACGCCGCGUGGGUGAAGAAGGUUUUCGGAUCGUAAAGCCCUUUUCUAUGUGACGAGAGAGGACGGUAGCAUAGGAAUAAGUGUCGGCUAACUACGUGCCAGCAGCCGCGGUAAAACGUAGGACGCGAACGUUAUCCGGAGUUACUGGGCGUAAAGCGCGCGUAGGCGGUUGGUUAAGUUACCUAUGAAAGGUACAGGCUAAACUUGUAUUGGUUAGGUGAAACUGGCUAACUAGAGAGAAAUAGAGGGAAGUAGAAUUCCGGGUGUAGU
rnacentral:rRNA from 1 species